AAAUUGAAGAGUUUGAUCAUGGCUCAGAUUGAACGCUGGCGGCAGGCCUAACACAUGCAAGUCGAACGGUAACAGGAAGCAGCUUGCUGCUUCGCUGACGAGUGGCGGACGGGUGAGUAAUGUCUGGGAAACUGCCUGAUGGAGGGGGAUAACUACUGGAAACGGUGGCUAAUACCGCAUAACGUCGCAAGACCAAAGAGGGGGACCUUCGGGCCUCUUGCCAUCAGAUGUGCCCAGAUGGGAUUAGCUAGUUGGUGAGGUAACGGCUCACCAAGGCGACGAUCCCUAGCUGGUCUGAGAGGAUGACCAGCCACACUGGAACUGAGACACGGUCCAGACUCCUACGGGAGGCAGCAGUGGGGAAUAUUGCACAAUGGGCGCAAGCCUGAUGCAGCCAUGCCGCGUGUAUGAAGAAGGCCUUCGGGUUGUAAAGUACUUUCAGCGGGGAGGAAGGUGUUGUGGUUAAUAACCGCAGCAAUUGACGUUACCCGCAGAAGAAGCACCGGCUAACUCCGUGCCAGCAGCCGCGGUAAUACGGAGGGUGCAAGCGUUAAUC
rnacentral:rRNA from 1 species